AUUAUACAUCAAAAGCUUGAGAACGAGAGAUUUUGCUUUGUAAACGUUGGAGAGAGGAAAGAGAUGCCAUGGAAGUGCCUCUGCCUCUGCAGUUUCAGAGUCCAAAAGAAUAGGCUAUGCCAACGGUGUACACGGACCAAUGUUAAAAACUGAACCCAAACUGAUCCGGCUAGAUUUGACCCAAACACUUCUGAUUUGUUAGGUGUCGACAGAUAUGGUGUUAGUGGAGGCUCUUGGUGAUUUAUUUGUUGAUUUGGAGAGGUGAUGGUGGUGUUGCAGUGGGUUAAUCUAGCAGGCAAAAGAGAGGACACAUGGGCAGUGCUUUUGGGGGGUUCUUUUUGUGGUUUGGAAAUUGAGGUGGUAGUGGUGUGACGGCUGUUAUGGCGAUGGUAAUGAUAGUGUUUGCGGUGGUGGCGAAGGCGAAAGCGGUGGUGUGGUGUUGGUGGUUACAGUUGUUGUAACUUUAUGGUAUCAGUUUGUGACCAACUGUUUGGGGGGGGCAGUGAGGUGGUGGUUGUGUUGUUGGCUGUGAUGGUGAGGCCGAGGUAGUGAUGGCAAUGCUCGGCUUGGCUCUUUAACCCAUGAGCUCGUGUUUUUAAAAAAAAAAAUUGCACCUUUUUUUUAAAAUUUUUUUUUCAUAUUUUUGGACGAGCCCAAGCCGCCCACGAGCGGCCGAGCCAACGAGCCGCUCGGCCCGUUUGACAUCCCUAGGUCGAGGCAAUGGUCGUGGGUUGUUGGCUGAUUUUUUUUUUUUUUUUUUUUGGACAACUAUUGUGGUUUUGCAAGACCUGUUGGUGGUAAUGAUCAUAGUGACGAUGGUUGUAGGUGGGAUGAGAUUGGAUUGGAUUGUGGCCAAUUAUUUGGUUGAUUGUGACUAAUAAUUGGUUGAUUUGUAAUAUGUGACUUAAAAAUUG
rnacentral:lncRNA from 1 species